UUUUCCAGAAAUCAAUAUUUAUGUCUUUGAUUUGAUAUUAUUCUUGUUCUUUUCUACUUCAUCUACCUCAGUAAUGAGGACAAAUAAAUUUAAAAACAUUACGUGUCAUUUUUUUUCUACUAAGUAUAGCUUUAUGAAUAGAAAAAGGUGUAUAAAAAUUUGAUAUCAAAUUUUUGUCUUUGUGACAUUGGAUAUGGUACAGAAAAUGGUAGGAUCUCAAUGCAUAUAGGCUGGUUGCUAUACUUGCCAAACAAGCUUAUAAAACAAGGAAGUAACUUGUAUUCAGUGAAAAUAAAAAUAGAUUUGUUUCACAUGGCUUACAUUCAAUAUGUAGAUCAUGCAAUUUCCUGUGUGUGUGUGUGAGGGUGCGUGUGCAUUCCACAAACAAAUGAGGACGUCCUCAUGACAACACACCAACAUAGUGAGCACUGUGCGGAUCCCGAGGACCGUAACACGGGUCCUCGUUUCGAAACUGUUGGUACCGCUCCCAAAAGGAGUCUAGAACCACCUCGGUGAUUUUCACCGGUGUCCUCGGUAGUGCGAUAUUGCAUGAAUAACGUGUUUCAAGGCUCAGUGGACGAAGCACGUUUCCAUCGAUUUCCACACACGGAUUCGCAAUGCUGCCAUCUACAGUUGCAUAUACUCGUCCAUUGCACUGAACUCUCUAUGACUGGAAUGGACUCGAUCGCGCGCUGCACGCUGACUGAAGAGCAUCGUUACCGUCUGCUUCUUGACAGCUACAAAUUGUUGCUUUUGCGACCAAAUGGAUCCAUACAAUCAAGACCUUCUGCCACAUUGAGAACACCCGGGCUGAAGGAGAUUCACUACAACCCGUGGCUACGUAUUCUCCAUUGAGCCUGUAAGAGUAGUAGGAUUUAUAAGGGUCUGCUUGAAGUGGAAAUGCAGGCGAAAUCGAUUGCUACAGUCAUGACAGUUCUGGGCCUUGUUUUCAAAGAAACAACAGCACAUGCAGCCAAUCCCUGCAUGAAGAUGUCUCAGAUAGAUCUGGUAGAUGAGAUGCUCAACUGUUGUUCAAGAAAAGCCCUAUGUGAUUCAGAUGAUGGGCCCAGGCUGCUGUCAGAAAUAGGGCUUAUCGGCUGUUAAAGUGAGUCAGAUUUGAUCCCCUACCAGGAGACUGGGUAUACAGAACAACCUAUGGAUGUAUGCUCAAGUGAUACAGAUGCCAUAAAACCUGCCAGCACUCCAAUUCAAGCAAAAUUUCCAGUGGCCACAUGGGAGAGGAGAAUCCCACAUCCCGUGGGGAGGUU